AGUGAACGCUGGCGGCAGGCCUAACACAUGCAAGUCGAACGAGUGGCGGACGGGUGAGGAAUACAUAGGACUCUACUCUGUCGUGGGGGAAAACGUAGGGAAACUUACGCUAAUACCGCAUAAGAUGGAAUGAGCCGAUGUCGGAUUAGCUAGUUGGCGGGGUAAAGGCCCACCAAGGCGACGAGCCGUAGCUGGUCUGAGAGGAUGAUCAGCCACACUGGAACUGAGACACGGUCCAGACUCCUACGGGAGGCAGCAGUGGGGAAUAUUGGGCAAGGGGCGCAAGCCUGAUCCAGCCAUACCGCGUGUGUGAAGAAGGUCUUCGGAUUGUAAAGCACUUUAAGUGGGGAGGCGGUACCAACAGAGUAAGCACCGGCUAACUUCGUGCCAGCAGCCGCGGUAAUAC
rnacentral:rRNA from 1 species